AGGAUAAACGCUGGCGGCGUGCCUAACACAUGCAAGUCGAACGUCUCUUCUUUCGGGAAGAGGAGUGGCGGACGGGUGAGGAACACGUGGGAACCUGCCCUUUAGUGAGGAAUACCGGCGAGAAAUCGCCGACAAGACCGCAUAGCCCUCUUUGAUGAGAGUCAAAGAAGGAAAGCUUCGCAAGAGGCGCUAGAGGAGGGGCCUGCGUCCGAUUAGUUAGUUGGUGGGGUAAGAGCCUACCAAGGCGUCGAUCGGUAGCUGGUCUGAGAGGACGAUCAGCCACACUGGGAUUGAGAACGGCCCAGACUCCUACGGGGGCAGCAGUGAGGAAUUUUUCGGCAAUGGGGGAAACCCUGACCGAGCAACGCCGCGUGCAGGAAGACGGCCUUCGGGUUGUAAACUGCUUUCUUUGGUACGAGAACGGACGGUACCGACGAGGAAUCGAGCCCGGCGUCACUACGUGCCAGCAGCCGC
rnacentral:rRNA from 1 species